GCAAUUUCAGGGGACGAGGAUAAUAAGUUGAUUAGAUCAAUCCCCAUUGCUCGACUGGUAUUUAUUUUAUUAAUCCCAAAAGGAUGAAAUACAAAAGUCAAUCCUGGUGGCAUCUGGACUCAAUGUGAAGUCAGAAGAAAUGAAGCUAAGCA